UGAUCAAAGUGGUGUAACAUGCAUGUUAGGAUACAUCAACAAUGAAACCAGAUUCUACAUCAAGACCAAAAUAAAUGAUUUUCAAGUUGCUGUGUAACCACAUGAGGCUGAAAAUAUGAAGCACUACAACAUAAAAUAUUAAAACUAAAGAGGAGCUAACUGAUAGUGCCUGCUCCAUAACUACAGAUGUUGAAUAGUUGAAAGUACCUCAAUGCAGUAAGUUCCGUACGUGUACUCUCAUUAUGAGCUAGCACUGGGAUAAGCGACAGGUGAGAAACUUGGACGGCAGCCCAACCAAACUGGAAGAUGACGAUGAAACCGGAGAAAUAAAUGACUUGAGCCCAUUGUGAUGAACUUGAACAGCCAACACAGGGCAUGAAGAUGAACGGGAAGCUUGCCAAAAUGCACAUUGUACC